ACAUCCACUGCAGUGCUGAGGGCACAGGGGGAACUUUACUGCAAAAUACAGCUGGGAGUAUGUACAGCUUUAUGCGGAUUUUGAAUUUACAAAUGAGAUGUUUUGAAAGGCAAAUGCUGAAUGAGCUUGAGGCCAAAGAGAGAUGGUUUCUUAAUAUAAAUUCUGAGAUGCAAAGCAGAAUGGACAUAUAUUGAGGCUGAAUGCCAAGAAAAUCUACAAUCCAAGAAAAGUCACACUUCCACAGCUUCAAAGAAGUGGUUUAAAGCUGAGAGCAAAUGUCAGAUCACGACAGCUGGAGGCAGAGACAGUCGAUAUGUUCAUAUAUCACACCUCCAAUCCAUCUAUGAGGUGAUGUAUAUACAUCCUGAUAUUAACUGCAGAUAUCAGAAUAGAGUACUGAUCAUAUACACAUUAUGUACAACUCCUUUAACCCCAGUCUUGGUCCCUUUACAGCUUCAUAAAGAUAAACCCUCCUUCCAAGCAGUUCAUCAGUU